UCGAGAAUCUUUCGCAAUGGGCGAAAGCCUGAUGGAGCGACGUCGCGUGAUGGACGAAGUGCUUCGGCACGUAAACAUCUUUUAUGUGGGAUGAAAUUAUUGACAGUACCACAUGAAUAAGGGGCUCCUAACUCUGUGCCAGCAGGAGCGGUAAUACAGAGGCCCCAAGCGUUAUCCGGAAUCACUGGGCGUAAAGGGUGUCGAGGCGGUUGUAUUAGUCGUUCGUAAAAUCUACGAGCUUAACUUGUAGGCGGCGAACGAAACGGUACGACUUGAGGUUUGGAGAGGUGCGUGGAACUCACGGUGUAGGGGUGAAAUCCGUUGAUAUCGUGGGGAACACCAAAGGCGAAGGCAGCGCACUGGCCAAAAUCUGACGCUCACACACGAAAGCUAGGGUAGCGAAGAGGAUUAGAUACCCGGGUAGUCCCUGAGCGGGCUGGCAAGGCGCAU
rnacentral:rRNA from 1 species